rnacentral:snRNA from 1 species
GAUACUAGACGAAUUGAUGUCUGUCACCUCAUUGGUCACCAGAUCCUAUUCUUUUUACUAACCUGAUUGGUCAGAUGGGUAUCUCUUUCCUCCUUCUUCAUACCAUGCGUGUCUUACCUGAAACAGUUCACUCAAUCAAUAAAGAUUACUUUUCUUCAUAGAAGAGAACUCUUCUUUGCACAAGGUUAUAUGAGUUAAGACUUUCUCCUACUAGAAUUUCCAAAUAAGGUUUAAUAGAUCCACAGCUGUUAUACCUAUAGUAUUUAAACUUAAAAUAAUUCUGUAUUACUGACCUCUGUAUUAGGUCAGUAAACCUGAAAGGAUACUGUAAUGCACAGAUGUUA